rnacentral:rRNA from 1 species
ACCAGCAGCCAUAUCACUCUGCAAUUUACAACUGACAGCCCACUGAAGCUAAGGAGGUAUGAGCCUGGUCAGUACCUGGAUGGGAGACCUCCUGGGAAAAACUUAGGUUGCUGCUGGAA